AGUUAAAACUCACCAAGAAGAAUUUUUGGGGGGUCAGUUACUAACACAUUCCUAGAUCUCACAAUUUCCAGAAAUCCAGGCUUUUUAGUCAUUGUGUUGCUUUUUUUUUCUAUCUCGAGAAAAAUCCCAUUUGUUUUUUGAUAAGCUCAAAAUAUUGCCCAUUUUAGCAUAAUUGAGUAAAAGAAAGAAACUUAUCAUUUGGGCGUUUGAGGUUUUCAAUCUUGAAAACAAAAAGUUUAUCAUGUUCUUGUGGAGAGGUUGAAACUGGAAAAAAGGGCAUUUCUUGUUAUGGUAAAUGAGGAUUGGUUUGGCUUGCUAUGGAUGAAGCAAUGUUGAAGAGGUGAAUUAAGUGAAGAAUGGUUUUUUAUUGUUAAAAAAAGUUACUUUGUUGAGAAGUUGAGAUUGUAGAAAUCUGGUAGAUUAUGGAAAGAAUGUUGUAUCUGGUUUGGAAUGUGGGGCUGUUACUGGUUUGUACAUUGCUGGAGAGUUCUUCUGCUACACUUUCACCUGCUGGUAUAAACUAUGAAGUUGUUGCGUUGACGGAAAUUAAGAAGGCGUUACAUGACCCCUAUAAUGUUCUGGACAAUUGGGAUGUGAAUUCUGUAGACCCAUGCAGUUGGAGAAUGGUGACUUGUUCCUUUGAUGGCUAUGUGUCUGCUCUAGCACUACCUAGUCAAAGUCUAUCUGGCACCUUAUCGCCUGGAAUUGGCAAUCUCACUAACUUGCAAUCUGUAUUGUUGCAAAACAAUGCCAUUUCUGGUCAUAUUCCUGAUGUGAUCGGGAAGUUACAAAAGCUUCAGACAAUUGAUCUCUCCGACAAUAAAUUCGAAGGCGAAAUACCCACUUCCUUUGGAGACCUGAUGAAUUUGAAUUAUUUGGAUGUCUCUUAUAAUAAUCUAAGUGGUACCCUUCCUAAAAUAUCAGCAAGAGCUUUCAGAGUGCUCGGGAAUCCUUUAAUUUGUGGUCAAGGUUCUGAGAAUAAUUGUUCAGCAGUCUAUCCAGAACCACUGUCCUUCCCACCAGAUAGUCUGACUGAUCAACCAGGUGCUGCACGCAAGAGCCGUCGCGUGGUUGUUGCAUUUGUUGCAAGUUUUGGUGCUGCUUUCCUGGUCAUAGUAGCCAUGGCUUUGCUUCUUUGGUGGCGCUACAGACAUAAUCAGCAGAUCUUCUUUGAUGUCAACGAGCAUUGUUAUCCAGAGGUAUGCUUGGGUCACCUGAAAAGGUACGCCUUUAAGGAACUGCGGACUGCCACUGACCAUUUCAGCUCAAAACGUAUUUUGGGAAAAGGAGGAUUUGGUGUUGUGUAUAAGGCCUGCUUAAACAAUGGAACUGUUGUGGCCGUCAAAAGAUUGAAUGACUACAAUGCUGUCGGUGGUGAAAACCAAUUUCAGACAGAAGUAGAGUUGAUUAGCUUGGCUGUCCAUCGGAAUCUUCUCCGUCUUUUGGGGUUUUGUUCAACUGAAAGUGAACGACUUCUUGUUUACCCCUAUAUGCCAAAUGGAAGUGUAGCAUCACGAUUAAAAGAUAGCAUAUAUGGUAAACCAGUUUUAGAUUGGUCAAGGAGGAAAAAGAUAGCCCAAGGUACAGCUCGAGGGCUAGUUUAUUUGCAUGAGCAGUGUGAUCCCAGAAUUAUCCAUCGUGAUGUCAAAGCAGCCAACAUUUUGUUGGAUGAGGAAUUUGAGGCAGUAGUUGGUGAUUUUGGGUUGGCAAAGCUAUUGGAUCACCGAGAUUCUCAUGUGACAACUGCUGUUAGGGGAACCAUUGGCCACAUUGCUCCAGAAUAUUUGUCAACUGGCCAAUCGUCUGAAAAAACUGAUGUUUUUGGGUUUGGGAUCUUGCUACUUGAGCUGAUUACAGGCCAGAAAGCUAUGGAUUUUGGUCGAGGGGCCAACCAGAAAGGUGUUGUUAUGCUUGAUUGGGUGAGAAAGCUGCAUCAAGAGGGGAAAUUGAACCUUAUGGUAGAUAAAGAUUUGAAAAAUAACUUUGACCGGAUUGAGCUAGAAGAAAUGGUUAAAGUUGUCCUUCUAUGUACCCAUUUCAACCCUUCUCAUCGCCCAAAAAUGUCCGAAGCAUUAAGGAUGUUGGAGGGCGAUGGAUUGGCUGAAAAAUGGGAGGCAUCACAAAAGCUUGAGACUCCAAGAAACCGAGCUUUUGAACAUACUCCACAAAGAUAUUCUAACUAUGAAGAAGAAUCAUCACUAGUUGAACCAAUGGAGCUUUCUGGACCUAGAUGACAUCCGUUCUUCGUUCUACGCGAUUCUUAUCAUCCGUGAGUUGCCAAAGUUGAGGUAUAGGCAGACGAGACGAGGACCCUCCAUAGUAGUCUGCCUCCAGAUUUACAGGCUCAGAAGGUAGACUUUGAGUGGCUAAGUAUGCAGCAAGGUGAGAUAUGCUGAUGAUGUUUGAUCCAUAAUGGUGAUAGGAGGUAUAACGACCUUACGUCACUCUGAUGAAUUCAGAAAUGUGUUCUCAAGGAAUGUUUUGUAAGACAUGAAUAGUAUGCUAGUUGUAAGACCCCCUAAUGAGGUACUUAAUGCUAGAAGAGAAGCUUAUGAUGUAUCCAGGAAUUGGUUAAGGUUUAGUUAGUCGGGAAUAAGUCUUACUGGCCUAGAAAUGUGCUUAUAAGUCUUAUGUAAUCAUGUAGGCAUUAACAGAUAAGUGAUGAUCAUAAAGAG